rnacentral:RNase_P_RNA from 1 species
GCAGUAGUUGAUUCUGUCGCUGCAGGCUUCGGCCUGUGGAGGAAAGUCCGGGCAGCAAAGGGUGCCGCACUGUUGAAAAACAGAUGUCUGUGAAGGCAUGGGUACAAAGAAGAAAACAACCGCCUCCUUUCGGGGGUAAGGGUGAGAAGGUGGGGUAAGAGCCCACCAGUGUGGCGGGUGAUCGCUACAGCUGUUUGUCCUGCGGGCUGAAAGGCCAUGUAUACCGGUACAAUAAAAGUUACCCGCUUCUGCCGGGGGGUAGGCCGCUCAGAAAAAUGACAGGAAUCCUGUUUUUCAGGAUACAGAACCUGGCUUAACAACUACUGCAUUU